rnacentral:rRNA from 1 species
GAAAGGAGGGCUAAUACCGCAUAAUAUCUUCUCCUCAUAAAGAGAAGAAGAUUAAAGAUGGCCUCUAUACUAUGCUAUCGCUUCAGGAUGAGCCUGCGUCCUAUUAGUUAGUUGGUGGGGUAAUGGCCUACCAAGACCACAAUGGGUAGCCGGUCUGAGAGGAUGUACGGCCACACUGGGACUGAGAUACGGCCCAGACUCCUACGGGAGGCAGCAGUGGGGAAUAUUGCGCAAUGGGGGAAACCCUGACGCAGCGACGCCGCGUGGAUGAUGAAGGCCCUUGGGUUGUAAAAUCCUGUUCUGGGGGAAGAAAGCUUAAAGGUCCAAUAAACCCUUAAGCCUGACGGUACCCCAAGAGAAAGCUCCGGCUAAUUAUGUGCCAGCAGCCGCGGUAAUACAUAAGGAGCAAGCGUUAUCCGGAAUUAUUGGGCGUAAAGAGCUCGUAGGCGGUCUUAAAAGUCAGGUGUGAAAUUAUCAGGCUUAACCUGAUAAGGUCAUCUGAAACUUUAAGACUUGAGGUUAGAAGAGGAAAGUGGAAUUCCCGGUGUAGCGGUGAAAUGCGUAGAUAUCGGGAGGAACCACCAGUGGCGAAGGCGGCUUUCUGGUCUAUCUCUGACGCUGAGGAGCGAAAGCUAGGGGAGCAAACGGGAUUAGAUACCCCGGUAGUCCUAGCUGUAAACGAUGGAUACUAGGUGUGGGAGGUAUCGACCCCUUCUGUGCCGCAGCUAACGCAUUAAGUAUCCCGCCUGGGGAGUACGGUCGCAAGGCUGAAACUCAAAUGAAUUGACGG